AAGUAGAGGCGCGACGAUCAUUAGUAGCAUGCCGGAUGGUGCUGACUGCCGGAGAGGGUGUGCGAAAGGGAGAGUUGCCGAAGUGGGACCGGUGGUCAGACCGGUUUUGCUGGGCCUGUGGUUAAGAGCUGCAGGACUGUCACCGGCGAGGGAGUCCGGUGGAGUGCUACUUC
rnacentral:ncRNA from 1 species